AACUGGCACGGACUUGGGGAAUCCGACUGUCUAAUCUCAAUUCAAAGCAUUGUGAUGGCCCUAGCGGGUGUUGACACAAUGUGAUUUCUGCCCAGAGCUCUGAAUGUCAAAGUGAAGAAAUUCAAGUAAGCGCGGGUUGACAGACCUAGUAUCUUUCGAUAGAUUUCCAUACCUCCGCGAUCAAAAAAAAAAAUAGCCAAAUGCCUCGUCAUCUAAUUAGUGACGCGCAUGAAUGGAUUAACGAC
rnacentral:ncRNA from 1 species